AUCCGCUCUAAAUUGCAUUGUUCAUUUAAGCGACGUAAAACCAUUUUUCUACUCAUUCACGCGUUGAUGUAAGAAAGAACCAGUUGUAAACAAAAUGAAGUUAGAUAUGGCAGUGGUGUUACUGGCAAGCCUUUGUGUGGCAAGGGCUUCCUCGGAAAAGGAAGAUAAGGUGCAAUUAGCACGUCAUCCUGAUAAUAUAUCCAACGAAUCUCCGGAGUCAAAUGUUAGUUCAGGCCAAAGCUCAGACCUCCAGAACGAAGCGACUGUGUGGCAACACUGGAAACCAGGGAGGCUGUUUAAAUUAGGUCGUUCUAUGAUAAACAAAGGGCUAUCACACUCUGGUAAUAUAGCAGAGAGUGCAUUGGAGAGACGUUACCGCUACGCUCAAGAGCCACAUAGACGUAAAUUAAAAAAUAAAAUAAAGUUCCUUUUCAAAAUACAUCAAUUUGAAACUUAGAAUCAUAA